GAGCUGUAGGAGUGUGGAUGCUGGGUGUCUGGCUGAUGAAUCUGCAGAACCCCGGACAGGGCAGUGCUGCCAGAAGCUGGUGAGCAUUAGAAGGAGCCCUGAGCUGGUUGCUGGGACACCAUUAGGACAAGGUCCUGAGAACUUGAGAUCUCUGUUGCAGAAAACAGACCUAACAUGGAAUGGCAUAAUCUUGGCAGUGACCCAGGAGACAGUAAGAGAGCUGUAAAAGUAAUAAUGUGCUUUAUGAAGCAAUUACACCAGCUCUGGUGCUUCCUGCAAGGAAAUGAUCCCAGCCCCUCACAGGGUCAGGUCCAAAAAAGAAUGAAGUGGAAGAUCUUGGACAAUUGUGGCAUAAUUAUUUAGUACAAAUAUUGUCACUGGAACUUCCAUCUUUUCAGCCACAGGGAAAAUUCUGAAUAUCUUCAUCUUUCAUGCAGUCGGUAUGUUUGUCGGUCAGUCCUGGCUAUUGUUCUACAUACUACCUGGAACAAAAUACAGUUGAAAACUGUGGUCUCAGGUAGAGGCAGCCCCUGUAAAUGGACUUCUCAAAGAUUUCAGGUGUUGGUAUUAUUGUCUGUAGGUAAAAGUUGUCGUCAUCUCAUAAACUCGAGUGCAUGAUUAUAAAACACCUCUUACUUAAAAUCUUAUUGUAAAUAUCCACCUCCCAGAUAAAAUCGUUGUCUUUCCCUUUGCAAUAGCAAUACUGGUAAAUCUGUGGAUGCAUCUUCUAGGAAUCAUUCUAUAUCUCUCCUUAAUACCCCAGCAUUCUCCUGUUCUGCUGCUACUAUCUAGAUUGUCCAGUUUCUGUCUUGGAUGGCUAAAUCUUCUUCACCCCAUGCUCCAAUAUUACCUCAGUCUUUCUCUUUCUCUCCAAUGACACUGUAUAUGUGGCAUACUCCAAUGAGCCUAUACACAUAGCUGAGAUGUUUUCCUUUUGACUCCCUGAGUCCAUAACG